UCCAGCAGCUGAGGGGAGGGCUGGCGUGGGCGGAGCAGGGUUCCUGGGGCGUCGGAGCCGCAGCCACUGCUCCCAGCUGGUGCGGUGGUGCACGUUGGGGCCACCUGGAGAGGUCUUGUUUGUCCCACUAGCAGAAAGGGUGAUGAGUCGGCACGGUGCAUGGCCACUGGCGUGAGAUCACCCAGCUGACGCUACUGCGGGGUGGUCUGAAACGCCGCCUCCGGUGUCCUGCGUGGGAGCCGCCUGGAUAGACUGACUUCAGCGCGGUCUCGGAUUUGGUGGGUCUGAGCCGAACCCCUGGCCCUGCUGUGCUUGGAGGCGAGGCUGCAGGGCUCCAGGUGCCUGCUCCUCUGUCGGCACGCCACCCGUCCAUCCCUCCUGACUGCUUCGCGGUGAUCGGUGAUCGUUCUAACAAUCUGAAGCAGAAACCUUAGAAGAGGAAAUCGCGAAAACUUCUACGUAGACAGCCGUGUUAGCACCACAGAGUUUUAAGAGAUUCACGUGAAAAUUAAGCGUGACUGGACUGAAUGUUUGUCCCCACCACAUUCAUAUGCUGAAAUCCAACCAAGCCCCAAUGUGCUAGAGCUAAGAAGCAAGGCCUCUGUGAAGUAAUCAGGCUAUCAGAAUGGAGUUCUCCAGAAUGGGAGUUUUCCCCCUCAGAUUCGUAAAGCUCAAGACACACGGAAGAUAUACUGCCAGGGGCUUGUAAAGUGUGUUGUCUUCGCG